CAUCAUGGGUCAAAAAAAAUCAUUUGGCUUUUUAGUUAAAAUUGAGGUUAAAGCUUAAAUGUCAUAUUCUAGUGGUUCUUGUUGUUUUUCCCAGUGAUGGUUAAAAAGAUUUAUAGCAUGAAAAACAAAGUAUCAGCUAGAAAGCCCUUUUUCAAAAAAAAAGAAAAAAAAAACAAAGCAUCAGUUUCAAAACCGACUAAGUUGAAAAACACUUUAUAGCACUGAAAACAAAGCAUCAGUUACAAAACCGACUAUGUGAAUCAUUAGGCUCCCUUUCUGAAUGGUGUAAAAAACAAAUGUUGGAAGAAGUGCUGUGGACCCUGCAGAAAGAGAAGGACACUGUCAUAAAGGAAACUACUUAAAGAUUACCCACUUUCGAGGCUUUUGUAAAUUUGAUUCUCAUAUCUUAGAUAUGUACCUGCACCUUGUAAGAUUCGUAUGCUCAAAUUGAUUAUAACUGUAGUAAAAAAAGCGUCAAUUUUUAUUUUUAAACACAUGUGAAGCAAGUGUUCCAUGCAAAUGAGCAUAUAUUUUUAACUUUUACUAGGUGGGUACACGCGGGACUUAUUUUCAAUCAGUAUUCUAAAAUGUGCUAGAUGUUCGUUUGGCGGUAGAUAAGUAUUUAGCGACUAACCAUAUAUGCGGACGCCUAACAGAGCUAGACGGAUAUAUGAUUUUACAUGAAAUAUAAGUAUACACUAAUAUUUACUAAUUUUUUUUAAAAGAACAUAAAUAUACUUCAAAUAUAAUUUUAUGUUUAAAAAUAUAGUUUAACAUAUAUUAAUAGUUUAAAAUUGUAAAAACUCAAACAUGUUUAAAUAUAUACAUUUAAUAAAUUUAAAAUUACUUUGCAGACAAUUAAUCUAAUAUAUAUAAUAUGUAACAAUUAAUAUUAUUAAUAAUAGGAAUCUCAACUAAUGUUUAAAAGUUGUGAUUUCAUUAAAAAAAUUGAAAUGUAUUAAUUUUUAAUAUUUUGUGUCUUUUCUCAAAAACUGAAAGAGUUAUGUCUUUUUAUUAUAAAAAUAAAAUAGUUUUAAAAGUAGUUAAAAUAUCUCAAUAAUUUUCUUUCCACAAUUGUUAGUUUUAAGAGUUGUGUCUUCUCAUCAUAAAAGAUAAUUUUUAAUUGUUAAAAUAUCUCAAUAAGUGUUUUUCUAUAAUUAUAUUUCUUUUUAUUAUUCAAUAGAGUAUAUUUUCCAUGAUAUUUCUAUUUAAAAUAUAUUGUAUAGAUACUAACUUAAAAUAAAUAUCUCAAAUCCAAAAUUCGUGACUUUUUGUAUAAAUCUUUUAAAAUAUAUAAAUAGUCCAUGUCCAUAAGUUUUUCGCUGUAAAUAUUUCACAAAUUUAUUAAAAUGAUGAAAAAAUAUGUGCAAUUACCUGCUUAUAGAACUAGCAGAAGAUAUUAUGUGCAAUAUUUUAGUAAAUGUUUUCCACAAUUCAAGUAAAAAGUUUGGAACUGUAAGUCAACAAAUAGUAAUAAAUAUUUCAAAGUCAUUCAAUUGUAAAUAUUUACUUUAAAUAAGGCUGAAUAAGUAUACCAUGUCAAAUACAACAAUCAGAAUAACCGAAAAGUUAGCAAAUUCUUUGUAAUUCGUGUAUUAGAUUAAAAAAUAAAAAUCAAUUUAAAAUUUUUUUUUGAAUAGUUACAAACACAUUUAAUAUUUAUUUUACAUAAUUUUAUAAAAAUAAAUAAAUUUCUAUUUAUUGUAUUCACAUGGUAGUUGAAUAUAUCAAAUGUAUUAACAAAUGCUUUUAUUAUUAAAAAACAUUUUUUAACUAAAGAAAUAAAACAUAAAAAUAUAAAAUAAUGUUUCUUCUAUAUUAAAUUUUAGUUCUCUGUAUUUUUUUUAAUUUUCUCAUUUAUAUUAUUUCUAUUAAUAAUAGGUAAUACUAAUAAUUUACUUAAAAUGUCCAAGUGUGUGUUUUUUUUAUAAACUGCAUAAUUUUUAAUGAUGUUACUUUUGUCAUGUGGUUAUAUAUUUCUAUUUAUUAUAUUUUAAAAGAAUUUAAAGUCAAAAUAUGUGUCUUUUUUAUUAAAAAAUAUAAUUUAUUGAAAAUUAUGACUUAUACUCACGAACCAACACUAUUUUAUAUUUUCAAAUAUAAAUUGACAUUUUCCAUCAAUAUUUUUUAGUACUAAAUAUAACAGUGUUUUUCCUAAAUAUCUCCAUCUUAAAAUUUGAAUUUAUGAAAUAAUAUGUCGUCAUAAAUCUAACUCCACAAUUUAUUAUGCGUUCUUCUUAUUUUUAAAAUAUGUAUACUGAUUUAUGUUAUGUAACUCUAGUCUUUUGAAGUGGAUUAUUUUAUAUAUUUUCAGCGUUGGUCCGAUUUUGUUUUUCUGAACGUUGGAGUUGAUGUUCAGACCACCAAGAAUCUGAUGGAUUUGAUAUGAUGUGAGACUGUCCACACUCACAUUCUGUUGAUUGUUUGUGGGAUUACUCUGAGGUUCAGUAAUAACCAUAGAAGCAACAUUCUCUUUCUUCGAAUUUUAAGAAUCAUUCUUGUUAGCAGAGUUGGAAUUGUUGUCUGACUGGUAUUGCGGCUUAUAACCAUUACCAUGAGGUUGGAUAUCCAUGUAGUUUGUAGCAUCUGUUGUCAGUGUGACAAGCAAUGCCGCAGUGAGAGUAGAUAGGACGAUUCUUCUGCUUAUUAUAAACACCAUAAUCUGCUGCAAUAACCGAGUCAGAUUGUUGAUUAACUUGUGAUGCUUGAAAUGCAACAGCACUCGUAGCCUGAUCAUGCUUCAUAGACCAUUGUCUCUUUUCCUGAGAAACCAAAUUGAAAACCUUGGUGACAGAAGGUUGCGGCUCCAUCAUUAAGAUUUGACCUCGAGUUGUUGUAUAAGUAUAACUAAGCCUCAUUAAGAACUUUAACACUCGAUAUUGUUCAUCACCUUCCAUCAAUCUUUUUUAACUCUCACAAUUCUCACGACCACAACAACAUGUAUAAGGAGUUUCAUGAUUCUUAAGCUCUUCCCAAAGUUGCUUGAGCUUAGUGUAAUACUCAUUAACAUUUUGUGAACCUUGAGUCCCCGCAAAUCUUUGUUGUUUGAAGUAUGCAGUCCUCGGUCCAUUACUCUGCUUGAAUUGAAUUGAUCAUGAAUGUCUAACCACAUUUGUCUUGCUGUACCAAGAUACAUGAUGCUCUUCGCAAUAGAUUUGUCAACAUCAUUGACAAUCCAAGUAGAUACUAAGAUAUUGGGAAAAAAAAACCAAAAUGCAUAAUCAAGAUGAGAUUUCUCUAGCACAGGAAAGGUUCCAUCAAUGGAAACUACUUUGUUCCUAGCUCCUAACGUCAUCAUCAUAGAUCUACGCCGAGUAUUGAAGUUCCCUAAGCUAGUAAGUUUUUCCAGAGGCAAGAGCAAUACCAGCGUGAUCUGGUACUGUGAACGUAUAAGGGACUUGGGUUCGGAUCUUGAAGAAAGGCCGUCGCAUCGGAUCUUCCUUGCAGAAUAGGUGUCGAUGCUGACGAUGGAGUCGGCGUAACUGCAUUCGCAUACGAGAUCGGCAUAUUGAAGACGAGAAGAAGAUGCAAUCGAAAAACCGCGAUUCGAACCGAAUUUGGGAGAUCGAAAGCUUGAAACGAUAAAUAUUGAUGACAAUGAGCUUAAAUCUGCACUCUGAUUAAACAGAAGAAAGCUGAAGAUACGAGCAAAAACUCUUAUACCAUAUUAGAAUUAGAGAAACCGAGCUUGAGCUCAGAGGUUGAAGACAAAGUUUGUUACAGAUUUUAUUGAUCUCAUCAUAACAAACAUCAUUUACAUUUGAGAGCUAUUUAUAGUAAUGUCUAGUAAACAGGUUUAUAAUCCAAUAAAUAUGUUACCACAAAAACAUUACUCCCUCCGUUCCGUUUUUUAUAUAUGACGCUUUAAGAUUGUGCACAUAGAUUAAGAAACAUUUAAUUUCUAAACAAAAAACAUCAUUAAUUGUUUACCUAACCAUAAUUUAACCAAUAAUAAAAUAGAAACUAUAAUAUCAUUGGUCAUCUAGCAUUAAUUAGUAAUAAAUUUUACAUAGAAAAUUGAAAACGUCAAAUAAUUUGGAACAAAAAAAUUCUUCUAAAACGUCAUAUAUAAAAAAACAGAGGGAGUAUUACACAUUGCAUUGAUGGAAACAAAUUAAUCUGAAAAUCUAAAAGUCAAUCAUUGGAUAAAACAAAAAUGUUUUUACUAGUCAUGUGUUUCUAGAAAUGAAAUAGUUAUGUAGCAGAUAAUAUAAAGAUAAAAAAAACAGCAUAUAUAGUUUUUUUUUUUAACGCUGGACUUUUUAUUCCAAUUGCAAACACGUAUCAAGUAACUCCCCAAACAGGUAAGAGGAGCACUUGUAGGGAAACGUGAAGAUAACACAACACAUGAAUAAUAAAACAAAAUAAAAUAGGCAAACAGCAUAUAUAGUUUAUUUGUUUAAAAAAAAAAAUCAUCAUAGAAGUUUCCAUCUUUGUUAAUCACGGAUAUCCCGGGGUUUACAAGAAAAAAAGAGAGAGAAUAUAAACCAAUAGAAUAAUUGCCAGAGAAGAAGGGAGAAGGAGGAAGCAAAAGGGAAGUGGCGUGUUCAUCUCUCCAAUACUCUGCCGCCACUUCUUGUUCUCCUCCUCAAAUCUCAGUCUUCUAUAUAAACAUAGAGCCAUAGCCAUAGAUUCAUAGCUAAAUCUCAGCCUCCUUUGGCUCAAUCCAACGACCUAAUCAUAGAUUCUUGGAUGGUGACGAAGGGAAUGCGUGUCGGGAAAUACGAGCUUGGGAGGACUCUUGGAGAAGGCAACUCUGCCAAAGUCAAACUCGCUACAGAUACGGUUUCAGGCCAAUCAUUCGCCGUCAAAAUCAUCGACAAAUCUAGUAUCAAACGCCUUAACGUCUCUUUUCAGAUUAAGAGAGAGAUCCGGACACUGAAAGUGUUAAAGCAUCCAAAUAUUGUCAGAUUACAUGAGGUUUUGGCUAGCAAAACCAAGAUUUACAUGGUCCUUGAAUGUGUCACUGGAGGAGACUUAUUUGACAGAGUUGUCUCCAGAGGAAAGCUUUCGGAAACAGAAGGACGAACAUUGUUUCAGCAGUUGAUUGAUGGAGUCAGCUAUUGUCAUAACAAGGGAGUUUUCCACAGAGACCUCAAGCUAGAGAAUGUUCUUCUUGAUGCAAAGGGAGACAUUAAGAUCACUGAUUUUGGCCUUAGUGCUCUACCUCAGCAUUUUAGGGAAGAUGGGUUGCUACAUACAACCUGUGGAAGUCCAAACUAUGUCGCACCUGAGGUCCUAGCCAACAAGGGCUAUGAUGGUGCAGCAUCAGAUAUAUGGUCAUGUGGAGUCAUCUUGUAUGUUAUCCUUACGGGAUGUCUCCCUUUUGAUGAUGCAAACCUGGCUGUUCUUUGCCGUAAUAUAUUCAAAGGGGACCCUCCAAUACCUAGAUGGCUAUCACCGGGUGCUAAAACCAUGAUUAAGAGAAUGCUUGAUCCAAAUCCAAUUACGAGGAUAACAAUCGCAGGUAUUAAGGCCAAUGAUUGGUUCAAUCAUGACUACACUCCUUCCAGUAGCGACGAUGAAAAUGAUGCAUGUUCAUUCCAAGAAGAUGUAUCUGAAGAGGAGAAGAGCCCUGAUUUUCCAACCGUCAUCAACGCCUUUGAGUUGAUCGGAAUGUCAUCAUUUCUCGACCUCUCCGGUUUGUUUGAGACAGAGAAAGUAUUAGACAGGCAGAUAAGAUUCACAUCAAAUAGGUUCGCCAUAGAUGUGCUGGAGAAGAUCAAAACAACCCUUAUGGAGAUGGGUUUCUCCGUGCAGAAGAAACACACAAUGUUAAAAGCAAUCCAACAAGAGAGUAGUCGAAAAGGGCAAAGCGGGUUGUCAUUAACGGCAGAGGUUUUCGAGAUCAUCCCGUUGCUUAAUGUGGUCGAACUAAGAAAGACACAUGGUGAUUCAUUAUUAUAUAAACAGUUGUGCGACAGAUUAUCAAACGAAUUAAGCACAUCAUCUCAUGUUCAAAAGCUUUAAAAGGUAGCCAGGAGCAGGAAACAAAUGUGAAACUAUUCCAAAUUUGCAUCCGGAAUGAUAGAGGAUUUAUGUAUAUAAAUUAUUUAAAAAAUGUAUAUAAAUUAUAUACUAUCUUGUGUAAAAUUGGUACAUUAGCCAAAGCCAUAAAGUAUAUUCUUUUGUAAACAUUACAUUGUCUCCGAAUCUGUUCAUUAGCAAGUAAUAGAUUGCAUCCGAUGCUUGAUUA